rnacentral:rRNA from 1 species
GACGAACGCUGGCGGCGUGCCUAAUACAUGCAAGUAGAACGCAGUUGCGAACGGGUGAGUAACGCGUAGGGAAUUGCCUCAUAGCGGGGGUUAACUAUUGGAAACGAUAGCUAAUACCCAAUACUGUGAGAUGGAGAUGCGUUGUAUUCGGUAGUUGGUGGGGUAAAGGCUCACAAAGGCGACGAUACAUAGCCGGUCGGAGAGGGUGAUCGGCCACACUGGGACUGAGACACUGCCCAGAAUCCUACGGGAGGCAGCAGUGGGUAAGUGUCCGCAAUGGACGGAAGUCUGACCGAGCAACGCCGCGUGAGUGAAGAAGGUUUUCGGGUCGUAAAGCUCUGUUGAUCGAGACGCGGUAACGAACCAGAAAGGCACGGCUAACUACGUGCCAGCAGCCGCGGUAAUAC